UAUCUAAAUUGUUAUAAAUGGGGCAGUAUAUGUACCUUUCCAGAUACCUAAUCAUAGCUUAAUCAUUACUGGUGUCUUUUUCCUUUCUCCUUCUACAGAAAACAGGCUUCACAUAGGAUCUCUAAAUUUAAAGGGUGUGAAGAAGAAAAAUCAUGUUUCCAGCUUGGGCUGCUGUUUCAUCUGCUGGACUUACUUGAACCCUGAAUGGAAAGGAUUGCUAUGCACACAUUUUGGAUACAGAAACUGAGGCUCAGAGAGGUUAAACAACUUUCCUAAAGCCACACAGCUAGAGAGUUGAUCCGAACUGAAGAUUGUUUCACAUCAAAGCUCAUUUCUUCCCUAAAUGGCAGCAUUCCCUUCUGACUUAUUAAUUUGAUUUCUGCCCUCCCCUCGUGGAAGUUAAUUAAAAGAAUGUGAGAACCUUUUAGAAAAU